AGAAGCAGAUUCUGGGCCAGGGUCCACAUUUCAAACUAUGCCUGGAGGGACUAACACCUUCCUCAGAGCCUGUGUGCAGGGCUGGAAGGUCUGAUGAUUUUAUGGGCUGUCCUGACAGAGAUUAUUGGAGACUCCUUUGGUCUGCUGAUGUGAGUUGAACCAGGGAUGGUGAAAACCAGGGGACAGAGAAGGGUAACUAGGGGCCUGAGUGUCAGCUCCAAGUCCCUUCUCCCUGGAUGAUUUUUCAGGAGCCUUGAGCUCAGUCUAGUUACAGAAUCUUCUUCACCAUCUGCUAGUUAUAACACUCCUAAACCCUUGAGCUGAUGCCUGAGAGGAGUGGUUGUCUGGGAGGAUUUGGAGGAAGGCACAUGCAUGAAGACGAAUGGCCAUUUAAUCAUACUCAGUGCUGGUGAGCUGGAGCUGAGAAAUUAGCAGUGACUAAGAAAAGUCCAGCAUUAUUGAGGUGAAAUCUUCUGGGAAGUGUUUUCUGAGAGCACACAGAAGCUGUUUUCCAGAGAUGGCCAAAGUUGUAUUUCUCCACUGGCAGCCAAAUUUGGUCCUGUGGAAGAGCCACCCAGGUGACACUGGUUCAUGGAAGAGCAGCUGAGUCUUGGCACUGACAAUACAGCCUCAGUGGCAGCUGAAGGCCCAGGAUUGAAAGGGUCAUACAGAGAAGUUGAGGCUUGUCACCAUGAAGAGAGCCCAGGAGAGUACUGGUAUAAGUCCAGCCCAGUUGCAGCAGAAGACCCCAGCAUUUUGGAGAUGCAAGUACCAUGGGAUGACCAUCAAGAACAGCAGCAGCAGUGGAGUGGAGCCAGCCAAAUCCUAAAAGACAAGCUGUUUGUGCUACAAAGGGCUGAGCUGCAGAAGUAACUCAAGCCCCUUAGAGGAUCCCAGAAGAUCUUGAGUGCAUCUUUGACGUUGGAACAUGCACUAUUUACAUUUUUGGAGUUUGGUUUUGCUUUGCUUUGAUUGCGAUUUUGACCUAGUUCUUCUCUCUUGAAAUAUAAUUUAUUUUUGAUUUUACAGAAGUCCAAAGUUGAGAGACUGAAUUUUAAAAGAGAUUGAUUAUUUUAAAGAGAGAGAACUUUUAAUGUAUUUGAAUUUGUGAGGAUUGUGGGACCUUUAAGUUGUUAAUGUUUUAUAUUGUGAUAUAAAUAUUAACAUAACAUCUUGGGGAUAAAUGAGAAAAGAAAGGUUCUAAUUAAAAAGUGAUAAGUUGGGCCUUGAGCUCAGCAAUUUAGAGCACUGGCUGCUUAUCCAGAGGUCCUGAGUUCAAGUCCCAGCACCCACAUGGUGGCUAACAGUAUCUGUAACAGUAGUCCCAUGGGAUUUAAUAAACUCUUCUAGUGUGUAGGAGUACAUGCAGACAAAAACACCCAUAUACAUAAAAUAU
ensembl:antisense Il1bos interleukin 1 beta, opposite strand